rnacentral:rRNA from 1 species
UGGGGAAUCUUGCGCAAUGGGCGAAAGCCUGACGCAGCCAUGCCGCGUGAAUGAUGAAGGUCUUAGGAUUGUAAAAUUCUUUCACCGGGGAAGAUAAUGACUGUACCCGGAGAAGAAGCUCCGGCUAACUUCGUGCCAGCAGCCGCGGUAAUACGAAGGGGGCUAGCGUUGCUCGGAAUUACUGGGCGUAAAGGGAGCGUAGGCGGACAGUUAAGUCAGUGGUGAAAGCCCAGGGCUCAACCCUGGAAUUGCCUUUGAUACUGAUUGUCUUGAGUAUGGGAGAGGUGUGCGGAACUCCGAGUGUAGAGGUGAAAUUCGUAGAUAUUCGGAAGAACACCAGUGGCGAAGGCGGCACACUGGCCCAUUACUGACGCUGAGGCUCGAAAGCGUGGGGAGCAAACAGGAUUAGAUACCCCCGUAGUCC